rnacentral:misc_RNA from 1 species
ACACCUCAACUCUCGUGGUCCGCCAUGAUGAGCUUGGACUUUGGGGGUCUUGCCGGCCCGACGUCGGCUCCUCUAAAAUGGAUCAGCUUGCCAGUGUUUGGUGGCGUCACAGGUGUGAUAACUAUCUACGCUCGUGGUUCCCCACCAUGUGACCUUCAGCGAUGGAGGCUCACUGGAGCUCACAGAUGUCUCUCCUUGGUGAGGACAGCUUUUUGAAC